AUUCUCUCAUCUUCCUCGGGACUUGCACACUUCUCUACGAGAUCCCUGGCUUCCCUCUAUCUCUCUAGCCAUGGCUGGCUUUCACUUAUACCUUGUCCUCCGGUUUUCUCUCCAUGCGGAAUCGAGAAUCGUAUCCUUACAAUCGGCUUCACUCACUGCUCGACCGAUGUUCACCUUGUUACCGAAAUCAGGAGGAUUGAGAAUCCGUCUUUCUCACUCUCUGACUUCGUCGACCUCGAUUAAUCCUAGGGUUUCUCGAUUAUGAUGUCAUCUGUGAAGCUCAGGAAACUACUUGGUUCUCGCUCUCUGCCAUAUAACUCUUCUUGUUCGAUUUUGUUUGAUUUACUUGGUUCUCGGUUUCUUAUGGGCUUGAUUCGUACUUGGGUUGAUUUUGAUUUUGAUAAGUUUUGUAUGAACUGAUAUCGUGUUGUUGAUUGAUUGGUGUUGAUUCUGUUUCUCUAAGUCUUAAGAACUGUUUGACGUAUCUCGCCAAGUUCUUUGCUUAUUAAAUUUCAGCUCAUAUUGAUAUAGUCUCUGAUACUUUGGUCUUAAUAUUGUGUUUGAAUGAUUACUUAAGGCAACGAAUCACAUUUUCAAUUAUUAAUAUAUUUCGUUCGUAUCAAUCCUUAGUUGGAUUAUAUGUGUGUUUGCUUCGAAUUGAAUGUUACUUGCGAAUAAAUAUUGCUUCUGUUCUUGCUGGAUUGAUCUGAAGAUUUUGGUUGUUGAAAAUCCGAAUGGUUUUGGUAGAUGCUAGGGUGAAUUUUGAUCAAGUUAUGUUUAUGAGACUUUAGGGUUCUUGGGACUUGGUUUUUAUUAGGGAUGUGAGGUUUUGCUUUGUAUUAAGAGCUCUGUUGGAUCACUGGUAUUCAUGAGAUUUAUUUUUGUUUCUGGAACAGGAACUUGAAACUUAGAACUCACCCAAACCAGAAGUGCCUUCAUCAUCAUGUAGGAAGUGGGACAAGGAUGAAAGUGCCACUUUCUUUGAAAAGCCGAAGAAGCACCUGGAUGAACACAUGACUUGUUUCAAAACCACCAUGAACAAGCCUAAGCAAAUUCAUGAGAUCAAGGACUUGCUUCCGACAGCAAGAAGGAGAGAUGCUCGAUCUGUGACGAUGAUGAGAAGCAAAUGGAACUAUUUAAUGGAAUUAA